UGGAAGAUUGAUACGCGAGACUGUGUUAGUUAGGCUUCACGUUACUGAAUCUUCCUAUAUAAAUAAUUGCCUUCUGAUGACUGUAAUUUGUGAAGUUUUAAUUUACAGACAGAUACGGGGCAUACAAGA